rnacentral:rRNA from 1 species
UGAGUAGCUGCGAGCGAAACGGGAAGAGCUCAGCACGCAGGGGCGAUGCACUGGUGUAUCUGCCCGGUUCCGUGUACUGGAGAGUUCGUUAUCUGCCGUAACCGGUCGCUGGUUCAAGUUCAACUAGAAUGUGGCUUUUACUCCCAGAGAGGGUGAUAGGCCCGUAGAGCGGCGCACCGAUGGUAGAAGAUCUUUCCAUGGAGUCGUGUUGCUUGAUAGUGCAGCACAAAGUGGGAGGUAAACUCCUUCUAAAGCUAAAUAUCACCACGAGACCGAUAGCGAACAAGUACCGUGAGGGAAAGUUGAAAAGCACUCUGAAUAGAGAGUCAAAAAGUACGUGAAACUGCCUAGGGCUCAAGCCCGUUGAACUCGAUUAUCCGAGCGGAGACAUUCACCUGCGGUUGGCCGGCGACGGCACGGCCGCAGGGCACUUGUCUCUCGCACUAGCCAAGAGGACACUGCGAUCCAUUACGAAACAGCUUUCGCGCCGCAAGGCGCAAGGUCGCCCGACAACUGCCCCCUGGUGCUGGUUGCUUGCCCCACAGUAGCGACGCUCAGUUCUGAAGGCCUGUGCCGCGAGGUGGGGCUUACUGCACGUGGUGUUCUAGCAGUCGGGCGCGUGAUGGAUUCCCCCGGACACCGGGUGGUCUUCCCGCAAGGGGCCACCGGACUGUCGAUCGGCAGUGAAAGAAUCGAGGUACCUUCGG